ensembl:miRNA gmo-mir-11193 gmo-mir-11193
CGGCUGGUUUAAGCACCCUCACCUGAGCCGACUCUGGCUGACUGGUCAGGCUGCUUAAACCAGCCAUCAA